rnacentral:rRNA from 1 species
AUGUGGGCAGAUAGAGAGAAUGUCAUGGGGAAGCAAAAGCUCACUAUAAAGACCGAGGAGGAGUCAAAUCCUCGUGAGAUGUACAUAACCUGGACUGACGAGGCGACAAGGUUUAUGCUUGAUUGGUAUAUUGAGCUUCGUAAGGACAAACCUGCAACUUUCAAGUUCAAGAAACAGCACCACUUGCACUGUGCUGAUGCUUUGAAUGGCAAGUUUACUCUUGGUGUCACUCAAACCCAAGUGGACCGACACUACCGGUCAUGCAAGGAGAAGUGGGGUUGGGUGCGUCGCGCCAUGGCCAAUAGUGGCAACGGCUUUGACAUGAUUAAUUUCACAUUCACACUUUUUGAGUCAGAAAAACAAAACCUAAGUAAAACUGCAGUCAAUUAUCUUACUAGACCCAUCAGGUUUUUUAAUCAAUUGCAAGAGUUAUUCUCUGACCAGUCCCAUGCUGAUGGCUCGCUUGCAACUGACCAAACCACUGUCAAUGUGGAUGAUGAUAGUGAUGGCAGCGAGGAAGUGAGGGAACUUGAGGCCAAUCUAAUUCCAGUUGACAGCGAUGAAGCUGACUCUGACACUAUUAAUCGUCACAGUCCUAAAGUUGACUUGGAAGGCAAUUCUUUAAACAAGAAGCGCAAGCACGUGUCAUCUUCACCUUCCAAGAAGCCAACUAAGGGGAAAGCAAACAAGAAGGGCAAGAUAUCUAAUGAUGAUAUGGCAGCCAGUAUCAAGAAGCUAGCUGACUCUCUUGCAUCUCCUAUUGUUUCUGUGCAACCAAUGCCACCUACAGAUCCAUAUGCAAACCUUUGGAAGCGGAUAAAUGCCCAUACAAUACCAGCUAAGGAUAAACUUGAGCUUGUUGCAUAUCUAUCCAAACCAGACCAAGAUAUCUUCCGUAGUUAA